rnacentral:rRNA from 1 species
UACGUAGGGUGCGAGCGUUGUCCGGAAUUAUUGGGCGUAAAGAGCGUGUAGGCGGCCAGGUAGGUCUGCUGUGAAAACUCGAGGCUCAACCUCGAGACGUCGGCGGAAACCAUCUGGCUAGAGUCCGGAAGAGGAGAGUGGAAUUCCUGGUGUAGCGGUGAAAUGCGCAGAUAUCAGGAGGAACACCAAUGGCGAAGGCAGCUCGCUGGAACGGUACUGACGCUGAGGCGCGAAAGCGUGGGGAGCGAACAGG